CUUAUCAAAGGAGGCGGUAGAGGAGAGAGCUCGGCGUGCGAAACUUCUCGCAGCAGUCGAUGAUUGAAGGAAGGCGGCACGAGACAACAUGGUGGUGAAUGAAUGAAUGGAUGAAUCGAUUAAUCUUCUUUGGAGGGAAGCAAGUUGUG
rnacentral:ribozyme from 16 species